rnacentral:rRNA from 1 species
AACUAACAAGGAUUCCCCUAGUAACUGCGAGUGAAGAGGGAAAAGCUCAAAUUUAAAAUCUGGCGGCUUCCACCGUCCGAGUUGUAAUUUAGAGAAGCGUUUUCCGCGCCGGACCGUGUACAAGUCUCCUGGAACGGAGCGUCAUAGAGGGUGAGAAUCCCGUCUUUGACACGGAUGCCCGGGGCUAUGUGAUACGCUCUCGAAGAGUCGAGUUGUUUGGGAAUGCAGCUCAAAAUGGGUGGUGAACUCCAUCUAAAGCUAAAUAUUGGCGAGAGACCGAUAGCGAACAAGUACCGUGAGGGAAAGAUGAAAAGCACUUUGGAAAGAGAGUGAAACAGUACGUGAAAUUGCUGAAAGGGAAACGCUUGAAGUCAGUCGCGUCCGCCGGGAUUCAGCCUUCGUUGGUGUACUUUCCGGUGGACGGGCCAGCAUCAUUUUCGAGUGCGGGAGAAAGGUUGGGGGAAUGUGGCACCUUCGGGUGUGUUAUAGCCCCCUUUCGUAUGCCGUGCUCGGGAGUGAGGAACGCCUAUCUUGUAGGAUGCUGGCAUAAUGGCUUUAAACGACCCGUCUUGAAACACGGACCAAGRAGUCUAACAUGCUCGCGAGUGUUCGGGUGAUUAAACCCGUGCGCGUAAUGAAAGUGAAAGUUGGGAAGGCUGUCGUGGCCUGCACCGACGCCCGGACCUGAGAUUUAUCGACGGUUCUGCGGUAGAGCGCGUAUGUUGGGACCCGAAAGAUGGUGAACUAUGCCUGAAUAGGGUGAAGCCAGAGGAAACUCUGGUGGAGGCUCGUAGCGAUUCUGACGUGCAAAUCGAUCGUCAAAUUUGGGUAUAGGGGCGAAAGACUAAUCGAAC